rnacentral:rRNA from 1 species
UUUCCAGACUCCUACGGGAGGCAGCAGUGAGGAAUAUUGGUCAAUGGCCGGAAGGCUGAACCAGCCAAGCCGCGUGAGGGAGGAAGGCGCAGAGCGUCGCAGGCCUCUUUUGCCGGGGGACAAAAGGCCGGACUCGUCCGGUCCUGAGGGUACCCGGAGAAAAAGCAUCGGCUAACUCCGUGCCAGCAGCCGCGGUAAUACGGAGGAUGCGAGCGUUAUCCGGAUUCAUUGGGUUUAAAGGGUGCGUAGGCGGUUUUUUAAGUUAGUGGUUAAACGUCGGGGCUUCGCCUUGAUUUGCCAUUAAUACUGUAAGACUCGAGUUCAGACGAGGUAGGCGGAAUAAGUUAAGUAGCGGUGAAAUGCUUAGAUAUAACUUAGAACUCCGAUAGCGAAGGCAGCUUACCAGACUGCGACUGACGCUGAAGCACGAGAGCGUGGGUAGCGAACAGGAUUAGAUACCCGAGUA